UAUUUUUAUGUAUUUUUAUAUUCUGCGUAAGGCAUAAGACUAAAAAAUGUUCAACCAAUUAAAUAUUGUUCGGCCGAUGUCUCCCAAAAUUCCGAUAAGUAGCUCAAACUGUCUGUCAGCAAUUGUAGAUUUGAACUAAUGCGCAGCUGUUUACACAUACACCCACUGCGGAUUCAUGAGAGAGAAAAAGCGCGAGUGGUAAAAACAUGCAUAAUCAACUUUUUAAACUUCUGAAUUAAUAUUGGAGUUAGUUUUGCACGCUGGUGGAAGGAUGACCCCAUGGCUGAAGUAUUUCUGUUAUACAUUUUCUGUUUUAAAACUAUUUUAGCUUACAAAGCUGAUGUAGAUGUUUUGUUACAAAUUAUAUUUUUUAUAUGCUCAGACGUGUCGUUCAGCCACUGAAAUCUCCUGGAGAACAAUUGAUGUGACUAUUUUCAGUUUCAUAAGGGACAUUUUACAGCAUCGAUAAUGUAGAUUUAAACUUAGUUUAACAACAGUAAAUGGCACUAUUCCACCAAGCCUGCUUUACUGAGCUGAAGUUGCUUUAUUCACAUCGGUUCAUUUUUGAACAGUGACAACCUGACAUGCUUAUAUUGUUUAUCAUGCUACUCUGACUAUUCAGUCUGAACAGCAAGCAAGUAUGGCUUGGUAAUGAGUGUAAGACCUGCAUGCCGCCGACCAACCACUAUUCCCUGAGUGAGGGUUCUGCUGUCAUCUUUAAGGUGGGGUGUGUUUCAGAGAUUUAUGCUAGCUGGUUAGCAUUGUACCUUUAAGUUCACCCCUGCUUGUUAAUAAUGCUGUCAUUCUGAAUUUCACAACUUUAUUAUUUUUCCCACUAACACAGGUUCGUCUUAUUGGAAACAGAACUCUACGCGAAUCUUUGCAAUGACUGAGUGGGACAAGUAUUUGUAGAGAUGGGAAGAAGAAAACGAAGAAAACUAGGGUAGAAUCAUGAAUAAUCUUUAAACUUUUCAUUAAUGUUCAGGCAAUUUAUGGAAAAUCUUUAGUGGAUUUUAUAUUGCAUUCUAUAUCCAUUCAAAUUAUUUUAAAUAACCCCACCAUCAUGCUAGUGUUUUUACUAGAUUUAUCUUUCAAAAGAUAUGUUGUCAUAUUCAAAACCAACACUGUGUCUGGUAAAAAAAAUAAAUAAAUUAAAUAGUCAUAGUUUAUUACUGUUUUAUUAUUGUCAGUGUUUUAGUUUGGCCAGGUCUGAUGGGACAUUUAGUUUACAGUACAACUAUGUUUUGUAAAGUUACUAACAACCUUGAAAUUUUUAAACUCCCUUAUUUUUAACAUCUGCUUGAGAUUAAAACACUUAUUUGUCAGCUUCAUACAUUUUUGUCUUAAACAAUUAACCUUUGGUUAGUUGUUGUGGGAAGAAGAAGAGAGGGUCGGCGAUUCAGGCAAACUUCACAACAUGAUGACUCUGGGCUCUGUGAUGUAAAAGAGAAAAUUGAGGAGCUUCUACUAGCAUUUGAAGGUCUACCUGCCAUGUCAGCUAAACUGAGAGAGCUGUGCAAAUGCCUCACAGAACGGCAAAGUGAGGUUCUGAGAACAUCGUUCAAGUGCUGUGUGUUCAGAGGAGUGAUGGACAGUCCUGUCUCGGUGCUGUUGUAGCCUUAUUGGCUGUCGACAAUGCAUAGAGGCAGUAGUGGACGAGGGCUAAGCCUGUAUAAAAUGCAGGUCUGCAGUGUCAAGAGAUUUUAUUGUGGUUGUGGCUGGCUUGUCUGAGGUCCUGAGUAUCAUUAAGGCCUUAGACAAGCAGUACAACUCCUGUUGAAGCUGUCAACUGAACCCUCCAAGCUGAUGUCUGGGUCUGGCAAGAGCACAUUUUGAUUAGAAGGAAUCAUUUAAUUCGGUUUGGCCAUUUGCAUUUUUUUAAUGCUUUUCCUAUUAAAAGCUUGACUCUUCUGUUGUGACAUUGUGUUCUAGAUGGGAACUUUUCAUUUUGUCAAUCUUGUAGUCUGAUAUGGCUAGGAUCUGUAGUCUUCUUUCAGUGUAAUCAAGGAACUUUGCUGCUGUUCCAUGAUUGUAACAGGUGUAAUAUUACGCAAUGCUGUUACCUAGCUGGGAACAAUUUUUAAGUGCUGUAUGUUUCUUUUGCUACAGCCAUGGUAUGGCAGCAAAAUACUUUCAAAAUUAAGCUGGAAUGUGUAUAGAACCUAGCCAUAUCAGCCUAGAAAAAAAACUACCAUGUGAUGACAUAUGUCAAACUCUAAAUGGGAAAGUCAGAACUUUUUUUUAAUUAGCAAGAUGCUAUUGCAAUAAUCUAUGCUAAGCUAAAGCCAACUCCCCCACCCCCCUUAUUUAAAAUGUUUUGUAUUAGUUUGUAUGCAUGUUUAUAUGCAGUUUACACAAUACAGUACGUUAGUGUUAUUACUACCUUUUUCAUACAUUUUGUGAUUCAAAGACAAUGUUUUAAACAUUCUGUUGGCAUGUUUGAGAAUAAAAAAA